GUGCUUACAAAAUUUGGUGAAUGUAAAAAAAUCUAAAUAUUCUUUCAGGUAUGUAAAUAUUCUUGAAAUUCCACAGGUAAAGUCAACCCGUUACGGUAAAAAAAAUCGUUCAAAUUUGCUGCUGCUACUUUAUGGAACAGCCUUCCAAACCAUUUCAGGACUGAACACAGUGUUUCACAUUUUAAAAGUCUUGUUCAGUCCUGGAAAGUUUGGAAUGUCGCUGUUCUGCUUGAAGAUAAUUCUUCAGCUGUUUAUUAUUUAUGCUGCUUUUGGUUGCUCUGGUCUAGCAUGUUUUUACUUCAUUCCAUAUUUUCCUUUUUUUAUUGCAUGCUAUGUAUGUGAGAUUUCAACUUUGUAUAAUUCACGGUUGUUUUAUAUGUCUAAAUUAAUGCACUGUUUUUAUGUUAUUUGUAUGUUUUUAUAUUCGGUCAAAAGCUCCUUAGAGCUUGUGUUGCUUAUUUGUACUUAUGUCGAAUCAAAAUAAAGUUUUCUUAUCUUAUCUUAUCUUAUCUUAUCUUAUCUUAUCUUAUCUUAUCUUAUCUUAUCUUAUGUCGACAAUCCGUUUCAAAUACGCUACUUUUGGAGUUCAUGUAAAUCCUUUUUUUUUUGUUAAUAAGCUUGGUAAACUCUUUUAAAUCGAAAUUUCAACAUCUUCUUACUACUGUUGUUUUGAUAUAGUUACUUAUAUGUCUUAAUUGAUGAAAUCUAAACCGAAAUUAUCGUGUACCUAUCGUACCAUAUGUUUUAUUAAAGUUAUAUUUAGUAGUACCAACUUAACUCUUUGGUAUUUCUUAAUGGGAUGUACAACCACUGAUCCAGUGGUGCCACUUUGUGUUGACGUUUCGUCUUCUAGGCAUUACCAACACUUUUUGUUUGCACAUUUUUUUAUUAAUCUUAAUUUCAAG
rnacentral:lncRNA from 1 species